AGCGAACGCUGGCGGCAGGCCUAACACAUGCAAGUCGAACGAACCUUUCGGGGUUAGUGGCGGACGGGUGAGUAACACGUGGGAACGUGCCUUUAGGUUCGGAAUAACUCAGGGAAACUUGUGCUAAUACCGAAUGUGCCCUUCGGGGGAAAGAUUUAUCGCCUUUAGAGCGGCCCGCGUCUGAUUAGCUAGUUGGUUGAGGUAAUGGCUCACCAAGGCGACGAUCAGUAGCUGGUCUGAGAGGAUGAACAGCCACAUUGGGACUGAGACACGGCCCAAACUCCUACGGGAGGCAGCAGUGGGGAAUCUUGCGCAAUGGGCGAAAGCCUGACGCAGCCAUGCCGCGUGAAUGAUGAAGGUCUUAGGAUUGUAAAAUUCUUUCACCGGGGACGAUAAUGACGGUACCCGGAGAAGAAGCCCCGGCUAACUUCGUG
rnacentral:rRNA from 1 species